rnacentral:rRNA from 1 species
GACGAACGCUGGCGGCGUGCCUAAUACAUGCAAGUCGAGCGAUGAAGCUUGGUGCUCGCGCCCAUUUGAAGAGCAGCGAACGGGUGAGUAACGCGUGGGGAAUCUGCCUUUGAGUGGGGGACAAUAUCUGGAAACGAAUGCUAAUACCGCAUAACACCUUUAAACAUAAGUUUUAAGUUUGAAAGAUGCAAUUGCCUCACUCAAAGAUGAUCCCGCGUUGUAUUAGCUAGGUGGUGAGGUAAAGGCCCACCAAGGCGAUGAUACAUAGCCGACCUGAGAGGGUGAUCGGCCACAAUGGGACUGAGACACGGCCCAAACCCCUAAGGGAGGCAGCCGGAGGGAAACUUCGGCCAUGGAGGAAAGUCUGGCCGCAGAACGCCGCGGGGGUGGAGAAGGGUUUCGGAUCGUAAAACUCUGUUUGUAGGGAAGAACGUUGAUGAGAGUGGAAAGCUCAUCAAGUGACGGUAACUAACCAGAAAGGGACGGCUAACUACGUG